rnacentral:rRNA from 1 species
CCUACGGGAGGCUGCAGUGAGGAAUAUUGGUCAAUGGACGCAAGUCUGAACCAGCCAUGCCGCGUGCAGGAAGACGGCUCCAUGAGUUGUAAACUGCUUUUGUACGAUGGUAAACGCAGAUACGCGUAUCUGUCUGAAAGUAUCGUACGAAUAAGGAUCGGCUAACUCCGUGCCAGCAGCCGCGGUAAGACGGAGGAUUCAAGCGUUAUCCGGAUUUAUUGGGUUUACAGGGUGCGUAGGCGGUCGUAUAAGUUAGAGGUGAAAUCCCGAGGCUCAACUUCGGAAUAGCCUCUGAUACUGUUAGGCUAGAGAGUAGUUGAGGUAGGCGGAAUGUAUGGUGUAGCGGUGAAAUGCUUAGAGAGCAUACAGAACACCGAUUGCGAAGGCAGCUUACCAAGCUACUUCUGACGUUGAGGCACGAAAGCGUGGGGAGCAAACAGGAUUAGAUACCCCUGUAGUC